UACGUAGGGGGCUAGCGUUGUCCGGAUUUAUUGGGCGUAAAGAGCGUGUAGGCGGUCCGGUAAGUCGGUUGUGAAAGUCCAGGGCUCAACCCUGGGAUGCCGACCGAUACUGUCGGACUAGAGUUCGGAAGAGGCGAGUGGAAUUCCCGGUGUAGCGGUGAAAUGCGCAGAUAUCGGGAGGAACACCUAUGGCGAAGGCAGCUCGCUGGGACGUUACUGACGCUGAGACGCGAAAGCGUGGGGAGCAAACAGG
rnacentral:rRNA from 1 species